rnacentral:tRNA from 1 species
GCCGGGGUAGCUCAGCCUGGUUAGAGCGCCAGGCAGAGUUGGGCGUGACUCAUAAUCUGGAGAUCCACAAAGUGAACAGAGGGCGUGGGUUCGAAACCCAUCCCCGGCACCA